rnacentral:rRNA from 1 species
UACAGAGGGUGCAAGCGUUAAUCGGAAUUACUGGGCGUAAAGCGUGCGUAGACGGUUACAUAAGUCGGGUGUGAAAGCCCCGGGCUCAACCUGGGAAUGGCAGUGGAAACUAGGGGACUGGAAUCUGGCAGAGGGGGGUGGAAUGCCGCGUGUAGCAGUGAAAUGCGUAGAGAUGCGGCGGAACACCGAUGGCGAAGGCAGCCCCCUGGGCUGAGAUUGACGCUCAGGCACGAAAGCGUGGGGAGCAAACAGG